UACGUAGGGUGCAAGCGUUGUCCGGAAUUAUUGGGCGUAAAGGGCUCGUAGGCGGUCCAUCACGUCGGGAGUGAAAAGCUGGGGCUUAACCCCAGUCCUGCUUCCGAUACGGGUGGACUAGAGGUAGGCAGGGGAGAACGGAAUUCCUGGUGUAGCGGUGAAAUGCGUAGAUAUCAGGAGGAAUACCGAUGGCGAAGGCAGGUCUCUGGGCUGACACUGACGCUCAUGCACGAAAGCGUGGGGAGCAAACAGG
rnacentral:rRNA from 1 species